UGACUGCUCAGAAACACCGAACACUGAAAGGGUGACAGAAGUGGUAUAAAUACACAGAGUUAAAUGAGGGUUAAGAGCAAACAGAACCUAAAAAAGUGGAGGCUGCUGUGGAGUGAAAGACUUCAGGACACGCUUUCAGUGAAAAUAUUUAAAUUCAGCAUGAUAAUACUAUUCACCCGCUUCAUCACACCACCACGGCAUGGAUUACUUCUUAGAUCACAGCACACUAUGUUUCUGCUUUAUAGGAUUAAGAUAAGGUGUGAAUUGGAGGAAGAUGAUGGUGUGAAAUGUAACGUGACACUUCUGAUGGAAACGUUUUUGACGUGCCUGUAUGUACACUAAGUGUUUACUCUUAAGUUUUAUUUCCAGUCAUCGCGUUUCAAAUCAAAUCAGAUGCAAUCGAUUAAAAAACAUCAAUCCACCAGGAUUUUUUUGAUGAACAGAAGAGAGAAAGGUAUUAAUCAGUACUUGUGGAUGAA